GGCUGUGUAGCUCAGAUGGUUAGAGCGCCGCCCUGUCACGGCGGAGGUCGCGGGUUCGAGCCCCGUCACGGUCG
rnacentral:tRNA from 1 species